UUAAGCGACUAAGCGUACACGGUGGAUGCCCUGGCAGUCAGAGGCGAUGAAGGACGUGCUAAUCUGCGAUAAGCGUCGGUAAGGUGAUAUGAACCGUUAUAACCGGCGAUUUCCGAAUGGGGAAACCCAGUGUGUUUCGACACACUAUCAUUAACUGAAUCCAUAGGUUAAUGAGGCGAACCGGGGGAACUGAAACAUCUAAGUACCCCGAGGAAAAGAAAUCAACCGAGAUUCCCCCAGUAGCGGCGAGCGAACGGGGAGGAGCCCAGAGCCUGAAUCAGUGUGUGUGUUAGUGGAAGCGUCUGGAAAGGCGCGCGAUACAGGGUGACAGCCCCGUACACAAAAAUGCACAUGCUGUGAGCUCGAUGAGUAGGGCGGGACACGUGGUAUCCUGUCUGAAUAUGGGGGGACCAUCCUCCAAGGCUAAAUACUCCUGACUGACCGAUAGUGAACCAGUACCGUGAGGGAAAGGCGAAAAGAACCCCGGCGAGGGGAGUGAAAAAGAACCUGAAACCGUGUACGUACAAGCAGUGGGAGCCUCUUAAUGGGGUGACUGCGUACCUUUUGUAUAAUGGGUCAGCGACUUAUAUUCUGUAGCAAGGUUAACCGAAUAGGGGAGCCGAAGGGAAACCGAGUCUUAACUGGGCGUUAAGUUGCAGGGUAUAGACCCGAAACCCGGUGAUCUAGCCAUGGGCAGGUUGAAGGUUGGGUAACACUAACUGGAGGACCGAACCGACUAAUGUUGAAAAAUUAGCGGAUGACUUGUGGCUGGGGGUGAAAGGCCAAUCAAACCGGGAGAUAGCUGGUUCUCCCCGAAAGCUAUUUAGGUAGCGCCUCGUGAAUUCAUCUCCGGGGGUAGAGCACUGUUUCGGCAAGGGGGUCAUCCCGACUUACCAACCCGAUGCAAACUGCGAAUACCGGAGAAUGUUAUCACGGGAGACACACGGCGGGUGCUAACGUCCGUCGUGAAGAGGGAAACAACCCAGACCGCCAGCUAAGGUCCCAAAGUCAUGGUUAAGUGGGAAACGAUGUGGGAAGGCCCAGACAGCCAGGAUGUUGGCUUAGAAGCAGCCAUCAUUUAAAGAAAGCGUAAUAGCUCACUGGUCGAGUCGGCCUGCGCGGAAGAUGUAACGGGGCUAAACCAUGCACCGAAGCUGCGGCAGCGACACUAUGUGUUGUUGGGUAGGGGAGCGUUCUGUAAGCCUGUGAAGGUGUACUGUGAGGUAUGCUGGAGGUAUCAGAAGUGCGAAUGCUGACAUAAGUAACGAUAAAGCGGGUGAAAAGCCCGCUCGCCGGAAGACCAAGGGUUCCUGUCCAACGUUAAUCGGGGCAGGGUGAGUCGACCCCUAAGGCGAGGCCGAAAGGCGUAGUCGAUGGGAAACAGGUUAAUAUUCCUGUACUUGGUGUUACUGCGAAGGGGGGACGGAGAAGGCUAUGUUGGCCGGGCGACGGUUGUCCCGGUUUAAGCGUGUAGGCUGGUUUUCCAGGCAAAUCCGGAAAAUCAAGGCUGAGGCGUGAUGACGAGGCACUACGGUGCUGAAGCAACAAAUGCCCUGCUUCCAGGAAAAGCCUCUAAGCAUCAGGUAACAUCAAAUCGUACCCCAAACCGACACAGGUGGUCAGGUAGAGAAUACCAAGGCGCUUGAGAGAACUCGGGUGAAGGAACUAGGCAAAAUGGUGCCGUAACUUCGGGAGAAGGCACGCUGAUAUGUAGGUGAAGUCCCUCGCGGAUGGAGCUGAAAUCAGUCGAAGAUACCAGCUGGCUGCAACUGUUUAUUAAAAACACAGCACUGUGCAAACACGAAAGUGGACGUAUACGGUGUGACGCCUGCCCGGUGCCGGAAGGUUAAUUGAUGGGGUUAGCGGUAACGCGAAGCUCUUGAUCGAAGCCCCGGUAAACGGCGGCCGUAACUAUAACGGUCCUAAGGUAGCGAAAUUCCUUGUCGGGUAAGUUCCGACCUGCACGAAUGGCGUAAUGAUGGCCAGGCUGUCUCCACCCGAGACUCAGUGAAAUUGAACUCGCUGUGAAGAUGCAGUGUACCCGCGGCAAGACGGAAAGACCCCGUGAACCUUUACUAUAGCUUGACACUGAACAUUGAGCCUUGAUGUGUAGGAUAGGUGGGAGGCUUUGAAGUGUGGACGCCAGUCUGCAUGGAGCCGGCCUUGAAAUACCACCCUUUAAUGUUUGAUGUUCUAACGUUGGCCCCUUACCGGGGUUGCGGACAGUGUCUGGUGGGUAGUUUGACUGGGGCGGUCUCCUCCUAAAGAGUAACGGAGGAGCACGAAGGUUGGCUAAUCCUGGUCGGACAUCAGGAGGUUAGUGCAAUGGCAUAAGCCAGCUUGACUGCGAGCGUGACGGCGCGAGCAGGUGCGAAAGCAGGUCAUAGUGAUCCGGUGGUUCUGAAUGGAAGGGCCAUCGCUCAACGGAUAAAAGGUACUCCGGGGAUAACAGGCUGAUACCGCCCAAGAGUUCAUAUCGACGGCGGUGUUUGGCACCUCGAUGUCGGCUCAUCACAUCCUGGGGCUGAAGUAGGUCCCAAGGGUAUGGCUGUUCGCCAUUUAAAGUGGUACGCGAGCUGGGUUUAGAACGUCGUGAGACAGUUCGGUCCCUAUCUGCCGUGGGCGCUGGAGAACUGAGGGGGGCUGCUCCUAGUACGAGAGGACCGGAGUGGACGCAUCACUGGUGUUCGGGUUGUCAUGCCAAUGGCACUGCCCGGUAGCUAAAUGCGGAAGAGAUAAGUGCUGAAAGCAUCUAAGCACGAAACUUGCCCCGAGAUGAGUUCUCCCUGACUCUUUAAGGGUCCUGAAGGAACGUUGAAGACGACGACGUUGAUAGGCCGGGUGUGUAAGCGCAGCGAUGCGUUGAGCUAACCGGUACUAAUGAACCGUGAGGCUUAACCUU
rnacentral:rRNA from 1 species